rnacentral:rRNA from 1 species
GACGAACGCUGGCGGCGUGCUUAACACAUGCAAGUCGAACGGAAAGGCCCUGCUUUUGUGGGGUGCUCGAUUGGCGAACGGGUGAGUAACACGUGAGUAACCUGCCCUUGUCUUUGGGAUAACUUCUGGAAACUGGGGCUAAUACCGGAUAGGAGCUCCUGCUGCAUGGUGGGGGUUGGAAAGUUUCGGCGGUUGGGGUUGGACUCGCGGCUUAUCCGCUUGUUUGUGGGGUAGUGGCUUACCAAGGCUUUGACGGGUAGCCGGCCUGGGAGGGUUACCGGCCACAUUGGGACUGAGAUACGGCCCAGACUCCUACGGGAGGCAGCAGUGGGGAAUAUUGCACAAUGGGCGGAAGCCUGAUGCAGCAACGCCGCGUGCGGGAUGACGGCCUUCGGGUUGUAAACAGCUUUCGCCUGUGACGAAGCGUGAGUGACGGUAAUGGGUAAAGAAGCACCGGCUAACUACGUG